CUCUCCCGUGAGAUUUUCUUUAAACCAAUUCGAUUCAUAAAAAUAAAAGUCUGAAACCCAAUUCGAUCAAAUUAAUAAACCAAAAUUGAAUCGUUAAAUUCAAUAAGAUGAAGACGACCGAAUACUUACGAGAACUGUCAAGACAGGAUUAUUUGAAGAAAAGAGAGCCAACGAAAUUAAAAGAAUUCAUAAUCGAUAUACAAGACGAAGAAGAUCUAUCGAAAAUUGUCAAGUUAUCAAAAACAGAACAACGUGAACUGAAUCGCAAAAAGGAAAUAUUAGAAAUAAUCAAAAAAAGGUCUCGAGAGGACGACGAUCAUGCGUAUCAAAUUCCGGAUUCGUACGACGAAGAAGGACGCAUCAAUCAGAAGAAGAGAUUUAGUGUUGCUAUUGACCGGUAUAACGACGCGAAACAAGACGACGAUUUUGAUCAUAUUCAGAUGAAAAAAGCGAAAAUUGAAUACGGAUCGAAAAUUUCAAAAAAUUCCGGAGAUGAAUACGAGUUUUUAUUUGAUGACGUCAUUGAGUUUAUAAAAGGAGACGUUAUGGGAGAUACGGACGUGGAAUACGAUGUAAAAAAGUGCGAAAAAUAUGGACGUGAGAAGCUUCUAGAAGAGAGGAAGACAUUGCCGGUAUAUAAAAACCGAGAACGGCUACUGAAAGCGAUAGAAGAAAAUCAAGUUAUCGUUAUUGUAGCCGAGACUGGUUCAGGAAAGACGACGCAAAUACCGCAGUAUCUUCACGAGGCUGGAUACACGAAACGAGGGAAGAUCGGGUGUACGCAGCCACGACGAGUGGCUGCUAUGAGCGUAGCUACACGAGUUUCGAAAGAAAUGGGUGUGAAACUCGGUAAUGAAGUUGGAUAUUCGAUUAGGUUUGAGGAUUGUACUUGUGAGAAAACGGUUAUUAAGUAUAUGACUGAUGGGAUGUUACUUAGGGAAAUACUCGGGGAACCUGAUCUCGCGAGUUAUAGUGCGUUGAUGAUCGACGAGGCGCACGAGAGGACUUUAUCCACGGAUGUUUUGUUUGGUUUGGUUAAGGAUAUUGCUCGGUCUCGUUUAGAUUUAAAGGUGAUUAUUUCUAGUGCUACACUUGAUGCUGAAAAGUUUAGUGAUUAUUUUGAUUUGGCUUUGGUUAUUGAUAUUCCAGGAAGGCGGUUUCCUGUUGAUGUGAACUAUAGUAAAGAACCGUUAGCUGAUUACGUUGAUGCUGUAAUUGUGACUGCUCUUCAGAUUCAUGUUACUGAACCAGUUGGUGAUAUUUUGGUUUUUCUUACUGGACAGGAAGAGAUUGAAACGGCGGAGGAGAUUCUUAAAUAUAGAACCCGGGGAUUUGGAAGUAAAAUAGCUGAAUUGAUAAUAUGUCCUAUUUAUGCGAAUCUCCCUACUGAGCUUCAAGCGAAAAUAUUUGAACCAACUCCUGGAGGGGCACGAAAGGUGGUUCUUGCUACAAAUAUUGCUGAAACUUCUUUGACUAUUGAUGGUAUAAGAUAUGUUAUUGAUCCGGGUUUUGUUAAGAUGAAGUGUUAUAAUCCUCGGACAGGGAUGGAGUCGUUAUUGGUCAAUCCUAUCUCAAAAGCAUCUGCAGAUCAACGUGCUGGUCGGUCAGGAAGGACAGGUCCUGGUAAGUGUUUUAGAUUGUAUACUAAAUAUAACUAUGAUGAUUUGGAUGAUAAUACUGUACCAGAGAUUCAAAGAACUAAUCUUGCCAAUGUGGUUCUCAGUUUAAAGAGUCUUGGCAUUAAUGAUUUGGUGAAUUUUGAUUUUAUGGAUCCACCACCAGUAGAGGCAUUACUUAAAGCAUUGGAGAUACUAUUUGCUUUGGGAGCACUCAACAGUCUUGGAGAACUGACAAAAGUGGGUAGAAAGAUGGCGGAAUUCCCACUUGAUCCGAUGUUAUCUAAGAUGAUUGUGGCAUCUGACAAGUUCAAAUGUUCAGAUGAGAUUAUUUCAAUUGCUGCCAUGUUGUCUGCUGGAAGUUCUGUAUUCUAUCGCCCAAAAGACAAACAGAUCCAUGCAGACACUGCUCGGUUAAAUUUUCAUAUGGGAAAUGUUGGGGAUCACAUAGCAUUGCUUAAGGUUUAUAGCUCGUGGAAGGAAACAGACUUCUCUAGUCAGUGGUGUUACGAGAAUUACGUUCAGGUGAGGACUAUGAAACGUGCCCGAGACAUAAGAGAUCAAUUAGUGGGCCUAUUAGAAAGAGUUGAAAUAGAAAUAAAAUCAAACCCCGGAGAUUUGGAAGCAAUUAAGAAGUCCAUAGUUUCAGGAUACUUUCCACAUUCUGCAAGGACGCAAAAAAACGGAUCUUACAGAACCCUUAAACAUCCUCAGACUGCCUAUAUUCAUCCUAACUCUGGUUUGGUAGAGGUACUUCCUAGGUGGGUGGUAUAUCAUGAGCUAGUCGAGACAAGUAAAGAAUAUAUGCGGCAUGUUAGUGAAUUAAAGCCCGAAUGGCUUGUAGAAAUUGCACCUCAUUAUUAUCAGCUGAAGGAUGUUGAAGAUCCGACAUUGAAGAAAAUGCCUCGUGGAGAAGGCCGUGCAUCCAAAGAUUGAUAUUGCUGCUGAUUUACCUGAACAUGGGAAUGAUGACAAUGAAGAUUGUCCAGAGUCUCAAAGGAAUAUAAUCAGCAGGCCUUUCACACUAUCAGUCUUAUAGAUACUCUCGUUAUUAUAAGACAGUAGCAUCCUAAAUUUCGUCAUUUCUUUUUUAUCAGUCUUAUAUACUUAUGCUCAUUACAGGCAUACUGCAGUUUGACAGCGGAUGGUGAACCUGUCUAUGAGCUAGUUAUUUCUGGUCAUCAAAUGCAGCAUUUUAGCCGGUCUGAUGAAACUCGCCGUUUCAAGUCUCCAUAUCAACUAAUAGACCAACUUUGAGGUAUUGCGGGUUGUUGCAAGAUAAACUCCCAACUAAUUUUUAACUGCAUGAUGAAGGUGUUAGUCUGUUCUUUAUCUGCUCAAGAAAAUGGCAAAACUCUUGACAACAUUUUUGUAAUCACAGAUGCAGAGUCUGUGGUCAGAGCUGUUGGCAUGGUAUUAGUUUCUUUUUAUCUGUUGUCUUGUACUAUUUGACGUUGUGUUACCGUUUUAACUCUGUCAGACAAUCAAAUGUGCCGACAUGCUAAUUUUUGUAUCCUGCUAACUGUUUAUGCAGUUAACUUUUAUUUGUUUCAGAUGCUACUUCUUUUGCAGAAGAUCUGUUUUAACUUAUAAUCUAAUUAGUGGUUUGCAGCUAUUGAAUGGAUUUUUAUAAGUUGUGAUGGCCAGUGGACUUACGGAUGUUGGACUACUGUGAUGGCAAUUAAAAGCAGGUUACGGGCCACUGGUUUGUACUUUGCAAAUCAGCAAACUCUUACCCUAUUUCCCUUCAUUAUUGUAGCCCAUGUUCACUCUAUCAUCCCCCACUGACCAAAAAGUUGUGGCCUAUUUCCCAUCAUUGUGGCCUUUUGUAACUUGAACAAGGUGAAUGACGAGUGAUGACAAUGUAGAUGGUCUAAAGUCUUGAAGAAAUAUAAACUUGUGGCUUUUCACUCUUUUACAUUAUUUGUUACUUGAAGACAACAAGAAGCUAAAACUUAUAUUUUUCAUCUGGCAGUUGGAUGUUUAUUACAGCCUUACAGGCAUGCAAUGUGCUAAAAGACAGCAUAUAUACCUGUCGAUGAACAAGGUAUUGCUGGUCCCAUAAGUCUGCAAUACAUAUGUUACUAUGUCUCACAGAAACUAGGGCUAUUUGAUGAUAAAUGUAACAACUCUCCUGUAUUUCUAACCAAAGGAAGCAUAAAGGCUGUCUGCUGAAACUCCCUUUCAAUUCUCCAUAUCAACUAAUGUAAAAAAUAUAUAGAUGAUUAUAUGGUUCUGUUACUUGAUAAGCUCCUCAACUAUAAGGUAUCGAUUUUCGUUUAAUAUAUCUACUUGGCCUGCCAAUCGGAUACAAAGCUGUCUGAGCAUAUGUUUGUUAGUUGCAAAUAGACUAUUGGGUCCAUGGUCAGAGGUGCUGUCAUGGUGGUUGGUGGAACAUUGAUGCAGGUUGACAUCUUGGGAUUAAUGACAUACUUUCCAUCUAAUCUCAUCACGCAAAUCAUGUUUGAAGUCACGGGAACACUUGCUGGUGGCUUUGAAAGGCUAGGAACAUCCAAAUUAUCACCCACAAAAAAACUCCCCUUCAUGGUGUAAAUUGUACAAGUAAUAAUUAACAUUUCACGCAUGAAUAUUUCUCUUCCUUCAUGUGCGGGCCAAUUUUAGUUUACAUAUGCAGGUUAAAGUUUGUUAUCUGCUAAUACUGGGUGGUCAUUUUGAUGAUUUGUUUAGUGGAAAUGUGAUCUUUGUGUACCA